rnacentral:rRNA from 1 species
CCUACGGGUGGCAGCAGUGAGGAAUAUUGGUCAAUGGUCGGGAGACUGAACCAGCCAAGCCGCGUGAGGGAUGAAGGUACAGAGUAUCGUAAACCUCUUUUGUCAGGGAACAAAGGCGGGGACGCGUCCCCGGAUGAGUGUACCUGAAGAAAAAGCAUCGGCUAACUCCGUGCCAGCAGCCGCGGUAAUACGGAGGAUGCGAGCGUUAUCCGGAUUUAUUGGGUUUAAAGGGUGCGCAGGCGGUCCGUUAAGUCAGCGGUAAAAGCCCGGGGCUCAACCCCGUCCAGCCGUUGAAACUGGCAGUCUCGAGUUGGAGAGAAGUAUGCGGAAUGCGCGGUGUAGCGGUGAAAUGCAUAGAGAUCGCGCAGAACUCCGAUUGCGAAGGCAGCAUGCCGGCUCCACACUGACGCUGAGGCACGAAAGCGUGGGUAUCGAACAGGAUUAGAUACCCCAGUAGUC